rnacentral:rRNA from 1 species
GACGAACGCUGGCGGCGUGCUUAACACAUGCAAGUCGAACGAUGAAGCUGGAGCUUGCUCCGGUGGAUUAGUGGCGAACGGGUGAGUAACACGUGAGCAAUCUGCCCUUGACUCUGGGAUAACUGCGGGAAACUGUAGCUAAUACCGGAUACGAGGCUCGAAGGCAUCUUCGGGUCUGGAAAGAAUUUCGGUCAAGGAUGAGCUCGCGGCCUAUCAGCUUGUUGGUGAGGUAAUGGCUCACCAAGGCGACGACGGGUAGCCGGCCUGAGAGGGUGACCGGCCACACUGGGACUGAGACACGGCCCAGACUCCUACGGGAGGCAGCAGUUGGGAAUAUUGCACAAUGGGCGAAAGCCUGAUGCAGCAAAGCCGCGUGAGGGAUGAAGGCCUUCGGGUUGUGAACCUCUUUUAGCAGGGAAGAAGCGAAAGUGACGGUACCUGCAGAAAAAGCACCGGCUAACCACGUGCCAGCCGCCGCCGUAA